GUUGAAAUGUUGAUUUUUUUAGCUUAUAUUUAUUUAGGUGAAAGGAAUUUGAUCUUUUCUUGGUCCAGUGAUAUCUAAGUUAUUAUUAGGGCUUUAUGCAAAAGACCACGUUGAGUUCUGUUGCGAUGUUAUUUUUGUUUCUUAAAAACAAGAAGUAUGAUGAUAAAUAUAUAGAGUAUGGGAAAAAAAAGAGUUUGUAUUUGUCAUUUUUGUGUGCUGCCAUGUAGUCGAUCAACCAAUUUCAUCUUAUCUUAGAAAUUUGGUGUUUUCUUUAUUUUUACUCCGUUUUUUGGCCCCAUAUAGAGUAAAUUGUU
rnacentral:misc_RNA from 1 species